UACGGAGGGUGCGAGCGUUGUCCGGAAUUAUUGGGCGUAAAGAGCUCGUAGGCGGUCUGUCGCGUCGGCUGUGAAAACCCGGAGCUCAACUCCGGGCCUGCAGUCGAUACGGGCAAACUGGAGUGUUGCAGGGGAGACUGGAAUUCCUGGUGUAGCGGUGAAAUGCGCAGAUAUCAGGAGGAACACCGGUGGCGAAGGCGGGUCUCUGGGCAACAACUGACGCUGAGGAGCGAAAGCGUGGGGAGCGAACAGG
rnacentral:rRNA from 1 species